CCAAUAGCGUAUAUUAAAGUUGUUGCAGUUAAAAAGCUCGUAGUUGAACUUCGGGAUUUGCCCAUUGGUCAGGCUUAACUGUCUGUACUGGUGUGACGAGUUCCUACCUUCUGAGGAAUCUCCAUGUCAUUCAGUUGGUGUGGGGGGGAAUCAGGACUGUUACUUUGAAAAAAUUAGAGUGUUUAAAGCAGGCGUCCGUCUGAAUACAUUAGCAUGGAAU
rnacentral:rRNA from 1 species